rnacentral:rRNA from 1 species
ACUCCUGCGGGAGGCAGCAGUGGGGAAUUUUGGACAAUGGGGGCAACCCUGAUCCAGCAAUGCCGCGUGAGUGAAGAAGGCCUUCGGGUUGUAAAGCUCUUUUGUCAGGGAAGAAACGGUGGUGGCGAAUAACUACUACUAAUGACGGUACCUGAAGAAUAAGCACCGGCUAACUACGUGCCAGCAGCCGCGGUAUACGUAGGGUGCAAGCGUUAAUCGGAAUUACUGGGCGUAAAGCGUGCGCAGGCGGUUGUGUAAGUCAGAUGUGAAAUCCCCGGGCUCAACCUGGGAAUUGCAUUUGAGACUGCACGGCUAGAGUGUGUCAGAGGGGGGUAGAAUUCCACGUGUAGCAGUGAAAUGCGUAGAUAUGUGGAGGAAUACCGAUGGCGAAGGCAGCCCCCUGGGAUAACACUGACGCUCAUGCACGAAAGCGUGGGGAGCAAACAGGAUUAGAUACCCUGGUAGUCCCA